GUGCAAAUGAUGGAAAAACUGCUGUGUGUGUGGGGGGGGGGGGAAUGACAUGAACAAAGGAACCACUGAUGUGC
ensembl:snoRNA SNORD42 Small nucleolar RNA SNORD42